AAAAUUCAAUCCAUCUCUUAUAUCUCUCUUUCAUCCAGAGCUUUCAUCGAUGAAGAUGGACACGUUGAAGGCAAAGCUUCAUGGUAGUGUACUCAAAAUCAAAUAGCUUAUACUGUACAUUCAUAUAUGCUUUCCAUUUUUCAAACCCUAUAUUCGUUUGCCCUCAGACGCCGAUUCACAGCGAAAAACCCAACUCACAGCGACCCAUCUUUCUCACUCUAAAAUCCAUAAUUUCUUCUCUCUGAAAACUCAUCACCCACCGAUUCAUCCAGAAAUUGAUACAUACGUUUAGGAAUUUCGUGUUUCCACCAUGUAUCGUUGGUGAAAUUGGAUCGAUCUAAGCGGUUACCAGGAUCUUAGGGAUUCGUUCUGAUUUUACUACGAUCAUCAGGUGAUAUAGCAUCAGGGUCUGCAGAUAUUGUAUAUGUUAUGUGACUUUUUGAGAGUUUGGGCAUAUUGUUAUAGGCUUGUAGCUCAUCAUUUGUUCUGCAAUAAGAGUUGGGAGCAAACACAAGCAGAAGGAAACCAUUAUCUACCAUCAAAUUUUACUGAGUGGUUAAAUUAACUCGUGCAUCAUUCUUAUUUAAGUAUUUAUCAUCUUGGCAUAAUGUCAGAACCGGAUGUGAUUAAACCCGAGAUGACGAAGUCAUAUAUAUGGCUUCAAACUGCUGAUGGAUCGAUUCAGUAAGUGGAACAAGAGGUUGCCAUAUUCUGUCCUUUCAUAUGUCACGAGAUACAUGCAGGCAUGGGUUCUUCAAAAACAUAUCCAAUUUCUCUUCCAGCACGAGUCAAUCCCGUUACAUUAAGUUUAAUACUUGAUUAUUGUCGGUUCCAUCAAGUCCCAGGCCGCUCUAACAAGGAGCGCAAGUCAUUUGAUGAAAAGUUUAUCCGUAUGGACACAAAUAGGCCGUGUGAGUUAACUUCCGCUGCUGACAGUCUGCAAUUAAAGCCGUUAGAUGAUCUUACCUGUUAGUGCAUGCAUCUGUCGACUUCGUCUUGUAUCGAGUCUUACACUAGAUAUGUUAGAUCAGGGCACGUUGUACGAGAAAAUAGGAGAUUUAGGUGUUGUUUAAUGUGAUUCCGCUUGAAGCAGGUGAUUUUGCUUGAAAUAACACUUGUUAUUUUCAAGCGAAAUCAACACAUUCUGAUUCCGCUUGAAAUGCAAGUUGUUACUUUCAAGCGAAAUCUCUUGGCUUAUAAAUAGCCUUCAAGCGAGAUCAUAUGUAUCGAUUGUGAACUUGGAUACCGAAGUGCUGUCGGUUUAUCCUUUGACUGUAAUUGUUGUUAAAUCAAUCUAGAAAGUGUUUAAAUUGA
rnacentral:lncRNA from 1 species